rnacentral:rRNA from 1 species
UACGUAGGCAGCAAGCGUUGUUCGGAGUUACUGGGCGUAAAGGGUGCGUAGGCGGUCGUUUAAGUUUGGUGUGAAAUCUCCCGGCUCAACUGGGAGGGUGCGCCGAAUACUGAAUGACUAGAGUGCGGGAGAGGAGAGUGGAAUUCCUGGUGUAGCGGUGAAAUGCGUAGAUAUCAGGAGGAACACCGGUGGUGUAGACGGCUCUCUGGACCGUAACUGACGCUGAGGCACGAAAGCGUGGGUAGCAAACAGG